AGGCAAAACAAUCCCAAGUGCUUGCUCCUGUAGUGACUUCAGUACUGGUUCUGGAACACCAAAAAAACCACCCCAUUUGACACUAAUCUAAUUCAGGCUCUACAAGUACGAAGAAAAUUAAGUUGGUAAAGUUUAGGAAAAAAGGAGCAGAGAAGUGAUGGAAGGAAUUGAAAGUGAAUGGUGAAUGGUACUUGGAGGAUACAGCAAAACCAGGAAUGCUCAGGAUGAACAAUACUUGUCCAAGUUCCUGGCCCCGGGAUUCGCCACAAGGCAGAGACAGCUGUUAUUUUAGAGCAGAUGUCAUGGACAAAUAAGGGGCAUAAGAAGGACCCAUAAGAG